rnacentral:ncRNA from 1 species
AGUUGAUAAAGCCACAACCGUCGUGAGGCGGUGUCGGAAAGCCAAGGAUCUCCAAGGAGACAGCCGGGUUACCUUC